CACGUAGGGUCCGAGCGUUGUCCGGAAUUACUGGGCGUAAAGCGUUGCGUAGGUGGUUUGUUAAGUCUGUUGAUGAAAGCCCCGGCUCAACCUGGGAAUGGCAAUGGAUACGUGGCAGGCUAGAGUGCGGUAGAGGGGUAGUGGAAUUCCCGGUGUAGCGGUGAAAUGCGUAGAGAUCGGGAGGAACACCAGUGGCGAAGGCGGCUACCUGGACCAGCACUGACACUGAGGCACGAAAGCGUGGGGGAGCAAACAGG
rnacentral:rRNA from 1 species